UCCCGUGUGGUCUAGUGGCUAGGAUACGCGGCUCUCACCCGCGAGGCCCGGGUUCGUUUUCCCGGCACGGGAA
rnacentral:tRNA from 1 species